UGAGGAGUAUUGCACAAUGGGCGCAAGCCUGAUGCAGCAACGCCGCGUGCGGGACGAAGGCCUUCGGGUCGUAAACCGCUUUUCUGGGGAAAGAGCAAGGACGGUACCUCAGGAAUAAGUCUCGGCUAACUACGUGCCAGCAGCCGCGGUAAAACGUAGGAGGCGAGCGUUAUCCGGAUUUACUGGGCGUAAAGCGCACGCAGGCGGCUCUGUGAGUCGGACGUGAAAGCUCCCGGCUUAACCGGGAGAGGCCGUUCGAUACUGCGGGGCUUGAGGUAGGGAGAGGAAUGCGGAAUUCCCGGUGUAGUGGUGGAAUGCGUAGAUAUCGGGAGGAACACCUGUGGCGAAAGCGGCAUUCUGGCCCUCACAUGACGCUGAGGUGCGAAAGCGUGGGUA
rnacentral:rRNA from 1 species